UUUUUACUUUUAUAAAGUUACAGAAGUGCCGGAGGCAGGAUGGCCGAAGCUGGUGACAUCCGAGAAGAAAAUCGGAGAAGAUGAUCCUUGUGAGGGCCGGAGGUGGAGGAAUUUAGUUCACGUAGGAACCCAGAGGAAAAUUAAUGAUUUGUUCUAAAACUUUUAAUGUCUUCUUUAUUUAAUUUCAAACCAUUUAAACGAAUUACAAUAACUGAAUUAAAACAACCAACUACUUACUAACAGACCUCCGCUCGUUGUGUUGAAUGUCGUUCACGGGAAUAUCCGCUUCCUCUGUAGUCGAGUUCUCCCCCAAUUCUUCCAACCGUAGCUUAUGGUAAAGAUCUAGCUCCAAUUGGAUCUGGGCUGUAUAACGAUACCAAUUGACCAAGCCGCAACUGAACUGGUGCUGGAUGCGGAACUCAAUUUGGAGGAGGGCUUGACAGACCAGGAAAGCAUUCCGGUUGAACCCGAUCCGUCUCGCCUGGCUAGAAUCCGGAGAUCUACCCGUAGGGAUGAUUAAAAGUUAGUUACGAUUGGUGGGUUUAAGAUCGUGUCUCUUGUGUUUGAGCGAUUUGUCUUUUUAAACAGAAUGAAUGAUACAAAGGAGGUAUCGAAUUCCCAAAUUAAACUCUUAACUCCUCCCUAGGAUCCUUGAGAAUAUUUCCAUCUCUUCUUUCGCCCCCUCUCGGAUAUUUCUCAUCGUAUAUCCAUCGAAUCUCGUCUCGACUACGCCAAUUUCCAUCAUCUGUCAAUCACCUCUGUUACAGGCUGCAACGAUGUUGAUGCCAACUGUUAUAGUUAUCCUCCGUUAUCAAAACACAAUCAUUUUUUAUUGAAAGUUCUUCCGUUAUUCCACAAUCGAUUUGUCUCGAAUGAUCUCGGAUGGCUACGGUAAAAUCUACAUAUAUAAUAUCGCUGAGAAACUAACUGAGAUACUACUUUGCUUGGAAAGCGCAGACGAUCGGAGACUACAACGUACAUUCUAAGUUUCGUUGAAGAAGAAAUCGAUCAAGGACGAAUUUUUGGUUCAGUAAAACAUAAUAUUAAAUGCAAUAGAUCGAUGGAGUGGGCGUGUAUGGUGUACGUGUACGGAGAGUUAAUCUUUUAGUAAACAUACUUUCUUGCUUGUUUGACCGACAAUGGAUCGAGCAUAUCAUAAUCACAGAAACUAGAAUCCUGAAUUUUUGUCCUCUCGCAACAAAGGUAUAUAUUCAAGACUUGUUGAUUCGCACGAAUAUAAAGAACCGUAAACCGGCUACCACACCAAUGAUUUCUACUUCUAAGUUGUACUCUGAUCAAGGUGAUUUGUCGGAAGACAAUUUGAUAUACAAAUCAACAAUGGAGGCUUUAAUUACUGUAUCUGGUAUUAUUUUCUGGAGGAGGUGCUGUCCUGGAGGCGACGUCGGAGCUUCUGGAGCCUUCUAGCGACGAUCGCCGGAGAAUUCGCGACUAGGUUUUCCGGUCACAAGAAAAGGGGGAAAAACUGUCGCUGGAGAGAGAGAAGAAAAGGGGAAGAAUGAUUUGGGG
rnacentral:lncRNA from 1 species